GAAUUGACGGGGGCCCGCACAAGCGGUGGAGCAUGUGGUUUAAUUCGAUGCAACGCGAAGAACCUUACCUGGUCUUGACAUCCACGGAAGUUUUCAGAGAUGAGAAUGUGCCUUCGGGAACCGUGAGACAGGUGCUGCAUGGCUGUCGUCAGCUCGUGUUGUGAAAUGUUGGGUUAAGUCCCGCAACGAGCGCAACCCUUAUCCUUUGUUGCCAGCGGUCCGGCCGGGAACUCAAAGGAGACUGCCAGUGAUAAACUGGAGGAAGGUGGGGAUGACGUCAAGUCAUCAUGGCCCUUACGACCAGGGCUACACACGUGCUACAAUGGCGCAUACAAAGAGAAGCGACCUCGCGAGAGCAAGCGGACCUCAUAAAGUGCGUCGUAGUCCGGAUUGGAGUCUGCAACUCGACUCCAUGAAGUCGGAAUCGCUAGUAAUCGUGGAUCAGAAUGCCACGGUGAAUACGUUCCCGGGCCUUGUACACACCGCC
rnacentral:rRNA from 1 species